AGAGUUUGAUCCUGGCUCAGGACGAACGCUGGCGGCGUGCCUAACACAUGCAAGUCGAACGGAGAAUUUUAUUUCGGUAGAAUUCUUAGUGGCGAACGGGUGAGUAACGCGUAGGCAACCUGCCCUUUAGACGGGGACAACAUUCCGAAAGGAGUGCUAAUACCGGAUGUGAUCAUCUUGCCGCAUGGCAGGAUGAAGAAAGAUGGCCUCUACAAGUAAGCUAUCGCUAAAGGAUGGGCCUGCGUCUGAUUAGCUAGUUGGUAGUGUAACGGACUACCAAGGCGAUGAUCAGUAGCCGGUCUGAGAGGAUGAACGGCCACAUUGGGACUGAGACACGGCCCAAACUCCUACGGGAGGCAGCAGUGGGGAAUCUUCCGCAAUGGACGAAAGUCUGACGGAGCAACGCCGCGUGAGUGAUGAAGGAUUUCGGUCUGUAAAGCUCUGUUGUUUAUGACGAAUGUGCAGUGUGUGAACAAUGCAUUGCAAUGACGGUAGUAAACGAGGAAGCCACGGCUAACUACGUGCCAGCAGCCGCGGUAAUACGUAGGUGGCGAGCGUUGUCCGGAAUUAUUGGGCGUAAAGAGCAUGUAGGCGGCUUAAUAAGUCGAGCGUGAAAAUGCGGGGCUCAACCCCGUAUGGCGCUGGAAACUGUUAGGCUUGAGUGCAGGAGAGGAAAGGGGAAUUCCCAGUGUAGCGGUGAAAUGCGUAGAUAUUGGGAGGAACACCAGUGGCGAAGGCGCCUUUCUGGACUGUGUCUGACGCUGAGAUGCGAAAGCCAGGGUAGCGAACGGGAUUAGAUACCCCGGUAGUCCUGGCCGUAAACGAUGGGUACUAGGUGUAGGAGGUAUCGACCCCUUCUGUGCCGGAGUUAACGCAAUAAGUACCCCGCCUGGGGAGUACGACCGCAAGGUUGAAACUCAAAGGAAUUGACGGGGGCCCG
rnacentral:rRNA from 1 species